CAGUCGAACGGCAGCACGGGUAGCAAUCCUGGUGGCGAGUGGCGAACGGGUGAGUAAUAUAUCGGAACGUGCCCAGUAAUGGGGGAUAGCCCGGCGAAAGCCGGAUUAAUACCGCAUACGACCUACGGGUGAAAGCGGGGGAUCGCAAGACCUCGCGUUAUUGGAGCGGCCGAUAUCAGAUUAGCUAGUUGGUGGGGUAAAGGCUUACCAAGGCGACGAUCUGUAGCUGGUCUGAGAGGACGACCAGCCACACUGGGACUGAGACACGGCCCAGACUCCUACGGGAGGCAGCAGUGGGGAAUUUUGGACAAUGGGCGAAAGCCUGAUCCAGCCAUGCCGCGUGUGGGAAGAAGGCCUUCGGGUUGUAAACCACUUUUGUCAGGGAAGAAACGGUCUGAACUAAUAAUUUGGGCUAAUGACGGUACCUGAAGAAUAAGCACCGGCUAACUACGUGCCAGCAGCCGCGGUAAUACGUAGGGUGCAAGCGUUAAUCGGAAUUACUGGGCGUAAAGCGUGCGCAGGCGGCUUUGCAAGACAGAUGUGAAAUCCCCGGGCUCAACCUGGGAACUGCAUUUGUGACUGCAUGGCUAGAGUACGGUAGAGGGGGAUGGAAUUCCGCGUGUAGCAGUGAAAUGCGUAGAUAUGCGGAGGAACACCGAUGGCGAAGGCAAUCCCCUGGACCUGUACUGACGCUCAUGCA
rnacentral:rRNA from 1 species